rnacentral:lncRNA from 10 species
CCCAGUUGGCCGCUGUCAGGGCCUGCCACGGGGGCUGGGCCCCAGUGCAAUGAGGACCGCCGUAAGCCACCCUUCCUUUCUGGAGGGCAGGUGUGAGUGGCUAGAGCGGGCCUGGGGCUUCCAUCCUCCCCCAGCCCUUUGGGGCAGCUGCUGAGCACCCCCUUCAUGUGUCUUGACUGUCAGCAUGGCAUUUGGGGGAGAACUGAGGGCCUCUGAGGCAGGAAGGAGACAUCAGAGGGCAGGGACCUCAAAGAGGGCCUCGCCCUGUGCCAGGAGACCAGCGACUCCUGGAGCAGUCACAGAAGCCUUCCUGUAGGAGGCGAGAUUCCAGUUUGUCUUUGAAGGAGUAACUUGGCAGGGGAGAGCAUCUUGCUUAGGAGGGUGGAGACAUGAGGUCCAGGUGUUGGUGAGGUGUGGAGCGCAGGCAGCACAUCCAGCCAGGCCCCGUCACCUUCCACCUUCUUCACCCCCUGCCCCACAGUGGCCUCGUCCACCCAGAUCUGGCCUCAGGUGCCCAAGGCUUCUCUGGUCAAAAGCCUUACCCGGAGCCCAGCUGCCCGGGCUUCCAGAAGGCAGCCGGGUGAUUCUUGGGAAAGAUCUAGAAUCCCCAAGCUUUCUGGGAGCUGAGGUCCUGGCACAGGGUCUCUCAAGCCUUUUCCACCAGGCCCAGCCCCAUCCCCCAUUUCCGGGUCAACAGUAGCGUGCUGGAAACUUCUGUGGGCCAACCUUGUAAGACCACAGCGGAGGCGGACGCAGAGCUUGGCCUCUGCUUUAUCCUGCGGGACCCUCUGGGGGCAGGAGGGCCACUCUGACGGCCAUUGUGUGAAGGCCCCAUCGUUGAUGUUGGGAAGCACUGUGACUGGCUGCCCAGGG